GAUAAGUUGUGCAUAUAUUUCAUGAUAUAUUGUUGGGUAUUGAUGAUCGUAUACUGUUAAUAUGUACAUCAAGAGAUGAAUAUUAGUUCUAGCUCACAACCAAGUCGAGUCCAGAUAUUUGAAUCUUCUCCAUGCUUGUCAGGCUUAUUUUCACAAAUUGAACAGAGGGUCCAUGGAUUACAAGGUCUGCUGCUGAGUCUUUUACGUGAUGAGAUUUAAACCAAAUGAUGUAAUCAGACAGGGUAGCUGGUUUUCAUGCAUUGAGGAUUACUUAUCCAAGACUUCGAUGGAACCAUCAGGACCCAUGCUGGGUAGUGGUACGUGACGAGAAAUGGCACCUGCCAUCAACUGUGAGCUACUGGAAGAGUUUGUCUCGACGUAAUUAUCCUCUUAUCUUCUUAUGCGCCCGUCUUCCUAGCCUUUCAAAACUUUUCCAUCAAUGUGUCUCAAGUAUUCUUCGCUAAUCAAGUCAAAGCUGCCGUACUAUGGCUCAAGAAGAAUGAUUUUAAUUGACAAUGAAUGAGUAUGCUCUACACAUUUUUUGAUUCAUUGUGAGUCCAUGAAGAGUAGAGCUUUUUCUCAAGUUCAGAAAUGAGGUUGUUUAGAAAGUAACAUAAGAAUUCUCCACUUGUGGCUGCAAAGAUGAAUGAAAUUAUUCAAGCAAGCAAAUUCAAGGCAACAGAAUAUUAAAGGGCACACCUUCGUUGGUGGGAGGCCAGACUUCAACCACUAAAGGACUAUUAGCAGAAUUAGGAUUUCCCCAGAUAUUGUAAAGUUUCAGUCAAUCUCAAUCAGCUUGUAUUUGUACCAAAAAAAGGAAAGAGAAGUGUAAGAAAAUAUGCCGUUGGAUGCCGAAAGUGGUUUUGUUUUCUAUCUUUAACUCUUGGGUCCAUGAUGAAAAUUUUUGCAGAGCAUAAUUGUCUACUGAGCUGGUAACAGAAAGGUUAGAGAGGCGCUAGUUUUCCUCCUCCACUAUCUAUCCAGGCCAUAGUAUUCAGUUUAUUUGCAAUGAUGUUGGGGUGAGAAAUUUCUCUUACUAUGUUCUGUUGUAUGUAGAUGUGGAAUGAUAUAGUCAGAUUUUUCCGUUAUGAAAACUUUGCAUCUGACUCUAGUGUUAUUUGCUCUCCUUACAAAGUGAAUGUUGAUCUGAUAUUGUUUUCAUUUAUUGCUUUUGAAUUUGAUAUUAUACUAGAGAAACAACUCUGAUUUGUUGAUUUGCAAGAACGCAAAUCCUGUUCUCAAAGAACUAGAUCAGAUACACUUUAUGUUCUUCCCUUAAUUAAUCCAGUUUUGUUUAUUCCAGGAAUUGUAUUCGUAUUGCAAUAAUUAUUGUCAUAUUGUGAAGUUUUUGAUGCAUUAGCAGGCCUUGUUUGGGGUCUUAAUGAGCUAGUCGCUUACUUGUCAAGUUCUAUUAUUUUUUAGGAAUCUACCAUUUCACCUGCACAACCAUUUUAUUAGUGUUUUUUCUUUGGUUACAAAACCAUUUUAUUAGUUUGACCUGUGGAUAUGCAAGUUGUUAGCACUGAAUGUUUAUUAUGCUUGUUUUGUAUUAGUUGCAUGUUGUUUAUAGCUAUAGGCAAUUUAUCUAAUGUUUAGGCAAAUAUUGGUCACAUUGGGCAUCUCUUUGUUAUGGUGAUGCUUAUAGAAUGAUGUGAACGAUGUGUUUUUCCUCGGACCUUCUGGCUCUAUAGAUUUAAGUGCCAUAAGAACUUCAAAAUGAAAAUAAAUCCUUGCAAGGUUAAGUGGAUAAAGGUAUACAGGUGCUUGCAUGGAAAGGAUAUGACACAACUGUUGCAGAUGUCUACUUAUUUAUCAAUUGUGAUCACUGAUAUAACGAGUCCAUCUCACACAGACAAUCUCUGGUAGUAUUCUUCCAAAGGACUCAACUUUUGAAUUUGAGAGGAAGAGAAACAGGUCUGAGAGAUAUGACGGGAAUGUUACUAAGAACAAAUUGAAGGCCAUAAAGAAGACCGACAAAGUAAGGGUGACAAGAGAGGCAAUACACCAUGCGAUGAGAAUCUGUUCUGUCGAGCCCGUCUUCUACCAUCCAUACAAAUGCUUUUUGGCAAAUCUUACAGGAUGAAUGUUAAGAUGACGAAGGAGAAGGCCGAGGCAAUAAAGAAAUUAGAACGGAGUUUAAACAUGGUUAAACAACCAGUUGCUUUUCAACAGGAUCCUUCACUCACCCUUCCAAAGAUCCAGGUAAGAGAAGCGCUAGUAUUGCUUCUCCACUGUCUAUCCAGGUUUAUUCACAAUGAUGCCAGGGUAAGAAAUCUCCGCUACUACGUUCCGCUGUAUGUAGAUGUGGAAUGAUAUAGUCAAAUUUUUAUGUUGUGAAACUUUGCAUCUGACUUUAUUGUUAUUUGCUCCCCUUAUAAAGUGAAUGUUGAUCUGCUAUUGUUCUCAUCUGUUGCUUCUGAAUUUGAUAUUAUAUUAGAGAAACAGAUCUGAUUUGUUGAUUUACAAGAAAGCAAAUCCUGUUCUCAAAGAACUUGAUCAGAAAUGCUUUAUGUUUCUUCACUUAAUCCAGUUUUGUUUAUUCCACGAAUUGUAUUUGUAUUUCAAUGAUUAUUGUUAUAUUGUGAAGUUUUUGAUGCAUUAGCAGGCUUGAUUGGGGUCUCAACGAGCUAGUCACUUCCCUGUAAAGUUCUACCAUCUUUUGGGAAUCUACCAUUACACGGCUAAAGGAGUGCCUUAAAGUUGGAAAUUUUCUGUUCUUAAAAUUUCACCUGCAAAACCAUUUUAUUAGUUUGAUCGGUUGAUGUAUAAGUAAUUAGUACUGAAUGUUUAUUAUGCUUGUUUUGUAUUAUUAGCUGCAUGUUGUUUACAGCUAUUGGCGAUUUAUCUAAUGUUUAGUCAAAUAUUGGUCACCUUGGGCAUCUCUUUGUCACGGUGAUGCUUAUAGAAUGAUGUGUUUUUCCUCAGAUCUUCCGGUUCUACAGAUCUAAGUGCCAUAAGAACUUCAAAUGGAAAGAAAUACUCGCAAGGUUAGGUGGAUAAAGGUAUACAGGCGCUUGCAUGGAAAGGAUAUGACACAAACGUGGCAGAUGUUUACUUCUUUAUCACUUGUGAUCAGUGAUAUAACAAGUCCAUCUCACAGAGACUAUUUCUGAUGGUAUUCUUCCCAAGGACUCAACCUUUGAAUUCAAGAGGAAGAGAAACAGGCCUGAGAGACAUGGCAGGAAUGUUACUAGGAACACAUUGAAGGCCAUAAAGAAGAUUGAUAAAGUCAGGGUGACAAGAGAGGCAAUACACCAUGUGAUGAGAAUCUGUUCUGUCAAGCCCUUUUUCUAUCAUCCAUGCAAAUGCGUUUUGGCAAAUCUUACAGGAUGAAUGGUGAGAUGGCCAGGGAGAAGGCCGAGGCAAUAAAGAAAUUAGAACAGAGUAUAAGCAUGAUUAAACAACCAGUUGCUUUUCAACAGGAUCCUUCACUCACCCUUCCAAAGAUCCAAGUUAAGGUCUCACAGUCGCACACUGAAGAGAAUCGCAUGGAGGAAGUGUCCAUCAAGUUUGUGCAAUGGCCAAACAUUCUACAAAGCACUUCCAAGAGUUAAAGGACUUCUUCUUAUUAAUUUUUUUAUAAUGCUAAGGCAUGCAGGAAAUUUUGUUUGGGUAACAUGCUGAUGUAACUAAUGUUGCAAUCAAUGUGCCGGGCGAAUUAUUCUUUAUUUUUACCUCGAGGCUGUCUCAAGUACUUCAUGCUCCAUUGGUGGGAACCCGAACGUCAGAAACUAUUGGAAGGGGAAGAUGCAAGUUUUAUCGUAUGUUAAUGUAGAAGAUAGUGAAAGGAUUGUGAAGUGAAAAUUACUGGGCAGAAAAGGAUUGUGAAGUGAAAAAGACUGGGUACGAGGUUUUGCUAGUUCUUGAUCAACUAGUUCAAAUCCAUGUUUAGCCUCUCUCCUCCUAAAGAAGGUGGUUCCUUAUCUCUGUAUUCUGUAUUCAUCAGAGAAAAUUGAAAACUACUCGAGUCAAAAUCUUGUAACAGAAAAUUGAAGCCUACUCGCAGUCAAAAUCUGGAAACAGGUGUAAACCAGUCCUUCCUCACUUUCAUAGAAGAUGGGUUUCUUCCAACUGAAAUAGAGUCCUUCAACUGUCUAGUUAACUUAUCAGGCAGUAACUGUAUAGUUUACUUAUCAGGCAGUAGCAGAACUUGUCCAAAAGUUUAUUCCAAGUAUCCAAGUACUACGUCUACAAACACAUAAAUUUUCUUGCAGACAAGAUAGAGGUAAAUCCUUGAGCAUAUAAAGGUUGACUCACCCUCCUUCCUAGCCAAAAUAAAACUUGUUCUAAAUAUAGGGUUGAAAAUAUUCGAUGGGAUCUCUCUUAUGGAUAUUCAACUGUCAGUGCCCCCCUUGGGAUCCUUGAAAGAGAGAAUUGUGAAUGAAAUGGUAGAGUGCUCCAAGUCAAACACGUAUUGUGCCCGCCUUCAGAAUGUCCAACCCCGCCAAUUACACAUGCCGGUGAGAGAUGAUUCCUUGCAUGUGGAAUCAUCUUGCA